GACGAACGCUGGCGGCGUGCUUAACACAUGCAAGUCGAACGGAAAGGCCCUGCUUUUGUGGGGUGCCCGAGUGGCGAACGGGUGAGUAACACGUGAGUAACCUGCCCUUGACUUUGGGAUAACUUCAGGAAACUGGGGCUAAUACCGGAUAGGAGCUCCUGCUGCAUGGUGGGGGUUGGAAAGUUUCGGCGGUUGGGGAUGGACUCGCGGCUUAUCAGCUUGUUGGUGGGGUAGUGGCUUACCAAGGCUUUGACGGGUAGCCGGCCUGAGAGGGUGACCGGCCACAUUGGGACUGAGAUACGGCCCAGACGCCUACGGGAGGCAGCAGUGGGGAAUAUUGCACAAUGGGCGGAAGCCUGAUGCAGCAACGCCGCGUGCGGGAUGACGGCCUUCGGGUUGUAAACCGCUUUCGCCUGUGACGAAGCGUGAGUGACGGUAAUGGGUAAAGAAGCACCGGCUAACUACGUG
rnacentral:rRNA from 1 species